rnacentral:ribozyme from 1 species
UUCUAUUUUUUUUUUUUUUUUUUUUUGUUUUUCCUUUUUGUUUU